GGGUGUGUAGCUCAGUGGUAGAGCGGCUAACUGCAGAUCAGCUGGUCCUCGGUUCGUAUCCGGGCGCGCCCU
rnacentral:tRNA from 1 species